UACGGAGGAUGCGAGCGUUAUCCGGAUUCACUGGGUUUAAAGGGUGCGUAGGCGGGCUGAUAAGUCAGUGGUGAAAUUUUACAGCUUAACUGUAAACGUGCCAUUGAUACUGUCAGUCUUGAGUGUGGUCAAGGUAGGCGGAAUGUGUAAUGUAGCGGUGAAAUGCUUAGAUAUUACACAGAACACCGAUUGCGAAGGCAGCUUACUGGGCCACCACUGACGCUGAGGCACGAAAGCGUGGGGAGCAAACAGG
rnacentral:rRNA from 1 species